rnacentral:lncRNA from 1 species
UUGCUUUCCAGGGGUAAGUAGUGCUUAUGCUUUACUACUAUACUACUAUUUCUCUUUGUUUAAUUCCAAAUUUAUGUUCAUCUAUUCCUGACUCACAAUUCCAAAUUAUUGAUUUUGACUUGCACAUAGGGACUUAAGACAUUCGUAUUUAAAGGACAAGGUCGAAUGAUCGGAACAACUCCUCAAUGUUUUCUGUCACAUCUAAAGAUAGUUGACCUCCCGAUAGUUAAAGAAAAAGAACUAUGCUUCACUAGAUUUUUGAUAAAAAGUGCAACAGUCUUGGAUAAACUGACUGUCAGAGUGGGAACAUGCAGAGGAAGAAUUAUGCAGCAGUUAGAAAAGCUUGCUAAAAAUUCAAACUGUGUGAUUGAAUUUGCUUCGAAUGAUAACUAAUACUGUAUUUGGGCUUACAAGUGUAUUCCUGUUACCAAAUUAC